AUCACACAGCUGCCAUAACAUCCGCCAACAACCUGAACCCAGCCGCCCCUCCAUUCACGCCACUCAACUCCUCCAGAUCGAGCAGCAGCAAAGCAGUGAGCUGCUGCUUCAUCUUCCGUCGACCAUCCAGUUCGAGCAGCAGUGAAGCAGCGAGCUGCUACCUCAUCUUCAUCGUCUUCACUUCGUCGUCCAGCUGAGCAGCAAGGUCAACCAUCCGCUGCUGUUGCUUCAUCAUUUCUACGCUGCUCAAACCAGCUCUUCUCCCUCUCUUAAAACAUACACAGCUGGCCGAAAAUUUCAGUGGGAAAUAGUGAC
rnacentral:lncRNA from 1 species